GCUACGGGAGGCUGCAGUGAGGAAUAUUGGUCAAUGGCCGUAAGGCUGAACCAGCCAAGUAGCGUGAGGGAAGACUGCCCUAUGGGUUGUAAACCUCUUUUAUGCGGGGAUAAAGGUGUCCACGUGUGGAUGUUUGCAGGUACCGCAUGAAUAAGGACCGGCUAAUCCCGCGCCAGCAGCCGCGGUAAUACGGAGGGUCCGGGCGGUAUCCGGAUUUAUUGUGUUUAAAGGGAGCGUCGGCCGGUCUUUAAGUGUGCCGUGAAAUUUUCUGGCGCAACCAUGUGAGGGAGGCGCGAACUGGAGACCUUGAGUGCGCGGAAGGCAGGCGGAAUUCGUGGUGUAGCGGUGAAAUGCUUAGAGA
rnacentral:rRNA from 1 species